GUUCGGUCCUUGCGACGAGUCAGGAUCGAAACGGGUCAGGCCGGGAACGGAGCAGCCCUAAGGUCUUUGAUUCGUGUGCGGGUGACCGGGCCCU
rnacentral:SRP_RNA from 1 species